rnacentral:rRNA from 1 species
GAUGAACGCUGGCGGCGUGCCUAAUACAUGCAAGUCGAGCGAACAGACGAGGUGCUUGCUCCUCUGACGUUAGCGGCGGACGGGUGAGUAACACGUGGAUAACCUACCUAUAAGACUGGGAUAACUUCGGGAAACCGGAGCUAAUACCGGAUAAUAUAUUGAACCGCAUGGUUCAAUAGUGAAAGACGGUUUUGCUGUCCCCUAUAGAUGUAUCCACGCCUCUUUAGCUAGUUGGUAAGGUAACGGCUUACCAAGGCAACGUUGCUAAUCCGACCUGGGAGGGUGAUCGGCCACGCUGGAACUGAGCCACGGUCCAGACUCCUACGGAAGGCACCAGUAGGGAAUCUUCCGCAAUGGGCGAAAGCUUACCGGAGCAACGCGGCGUGAGUGAUGAAGGUCUUCGGAUCGUAAAACUCUGUUAUUAGGGAAGAACAAAUGUGUAAGUAAAUAUGCACGACUUGACGGUACCUAAUCAGAAAGCCACGGCUAACUACGUG